AGAGUCUCAGGAUACAGGCCCAGGACCCUGGAGAUUCUGUGCUUGUGGUGAGAGUCUAGCUCAGAAUCAAGGCAAGUUGGCUUCAAAGAGACUUCUACCUAGUAUGAAGGGGAAACAAAGUCUUCCUCUUCCGUGACUAGAAUCUUCAAAUGCCUCUAUAGAGAGAACUGAUCAUCUCCUGUUAACUCCUCUGACUCUUCUUGCUCUAUGGGAAGAUUUCUUGCCUCUUUGGGCCACAUCUCUGGAACCCCUAGCCAUGGCCUGGCUAAGUUAACAGACCCCCUCAUCUUCUCCUCCUUGUACGUGCUCAAUACACAAAGGGCUAAGGGAACCCUAGGGAUUUUAACACAGAGAAAAGGAAAAUCCCAGGUAGUUAUAGCCAAGCAAAAGAUACCUGAUACAGAUGUACACAGAGAUGUCCAAUAGGAUCCUCAUAAAGAGUCAUCACUAUUUAAGCUAAGAGUCCAGACAAACAGAGUACCUUAGACAGACCAGGGAGUAGGGGUCCCACAUGCCUGUCAGGGCUUUUCACAUUUAAUGCCAGUGUGAUAGGCCCUUCCUUUGCUAAAGGUCAUUUGUCACAAAAGAGGUCCUUUAGUCAGAGACAGGCAAAGCUCUGCACAGAACAUCAGGGAAAUUUAUGUAUUUGCCACUGGAUUUGAACGUCAUCUCUUCUAUUCCAGGGUCAGCUAGAGAGAGAAAAUCCAAUGACAGACCUAACCAGCUGCAUCAAAAGAAGGAUCAUUUUAAAGUCGGUUGUUGUUCAAAGGAUCUGAUACCACCUAGGAAUUAAAAAAAAAAUAGCCACACAUUUCCCACCCCCCUCAGCCUCAGCACUAGGGUAAGCCAAAUGAACAGGGAAAGGACCACAGGCUAAGCGUAGUUAUCAUGAUGAAGCCCUGCCCACAUCUAACAGCACAUCAUAUUGACUUUUCUAGGCACUUCUGCCCCUGAGUUUACCAACAUUCCCACAUCAGGCUUAGGUGCAUUCUUAUCCUUGUCAAGUGAAAGGUGCAAUGGGGAAAGAGUAUUGGAUUUGGAAUGUUAGGGUUUGAAUGUAGGGGUAAUCAAGUAAGUAGGCUGUCUUUAUGACCUUGGUCAAGUCCCAACCUCUCUAGGCCAGUUUCUGCAUCUGUAAAAUGAUGGAGUCAGACCAGAUGAUCACUGAGGCCUUUUUCAGUUCUAAAUCCUGUGAUUCUUCUACUUCUCUUCUGGCCCAGACAAUGAUUAGAAAAAUAGACCUGAAAGACCUGGGAAGACUUGUAUGAAACAAUGCAGAAUGAAGCAAGCAGAAUCAGGAAAACAAGCUACACAAUAAUAACAUCGUAAAAACAAACAACUUCAAAAGGCUUGAGAACUCUGCUCAAUGUGACGACCGACCCCACUUCAAGAGCACCAGUGAGUGACAGCAGCCUCAGGGUAGAGGAUGAGACUUAGGUUUUUUGGACAAGGCCAAUGAAGGAAUGUGUUUUGCUUAACAAUGCAUAUUUGCUACCCAAAAAAUUUCUUUUUCUGGUGGGGGGGAAGGAGGGAAAAUACUUUUUUUCUCAUUAAAAAUAUUAAAUUAAGAAAAAAAAAGAAAACAUACCUGCAUGUGUACUAUGUGUGCCACUGUCUGACCUCUGAAAGACCUCAGAGAUCAUCUAAUCCAACCCUCUCAUUCUACAGGGGAGGAAACUGAGGCUUAGUCACUAAAACCCAGGUCUCCUUACUCCCACUUAGUCUGGAGCUCUUCCUAUUAUAUAAGUGAUCUCUUCCCUUUGAUGGGACAGAUAAGAACCAGAUGUGUUUUCUCUUCAAAGUUGAGAAAUGGUGUUUGGGCCUUUGUGCUGGUCAAACUCUGACACAUACGAAGAAGGAGAUGCCUUCCCAAUAGAUUGUGACACAUUUCAGGACAAAGAAACAAUGUGAGGGGGAUGGGCAAGGAGAAGGGUGAAGAGAACAGAUGGGCAGACAGUGGCUAGGGGGCAAGGCUGUUUUUCUGGGUGCUCUUUUCCUUUGGUCUUCAAGAACACCUACUCCCUAAGAUCUCCUCUGAAGCCACGGCCUAACCUCAAGAAAUUCAGGGACUUCCCCCACAUGAGUUAAAGGACUACAGCAGCAGCAGGCUGAGCCUAGCCGGUGUUCUCUGACUACACGCAUGUACCCACUUCUGGCUGUUCCAAGAAGCCGGCACCGCACUGAUCAGGGCUGUGAGGGACCCAAGGGGCUAGGUCAGGGCUGUCAGCCUUUUCCAAGGAGGCCCAAGGCCACAGGCAGGGGUGGUUCACACAAGAGGCAAGAAAGAUCAUUAUACAAAAUAUCUGCAUGUACUUUACAUAUGGCUACAGACAAUGCAGCCUGGCUCAGGUUCAAUAAAUCAGGUUCAAAGAUAAUUAAUUAUCACCAACCUGAAGAUCAUCCUCUGAAUGUUUCUCUCUAAACCUUCUCUCAUAUCCAGUCAUACUAGCCCAUCUCCCCCAACCCAGAAAUGGUUAGAAGCUGCAGCAGAGAUUAAGAUGGGGGACAGUGUGGCCAUCACUCCAUGGAACCCAGGGCCCAAAGCCAGCCUUUGCGGGGCUACGUCUUGCUGACUUGUUUUGUAAAGAGAAGCAUUCCCGUCCCCACUGAGCCAGCUAGAAAUCAAACUGCCAGCGUGCCCUCAAGGAACAGGGCCCAGCUGCUUUCCAGUGCACUUCAUACCUCUCCUUCCUUCUCUGUCCUCGACCUUCCUCAACUCUAGGAGACUGCUGACCCAUAACCAAAGCCUGGCACAGAAGAGUUAAUAUGUCUCUCACUCUGGAUGGGGCUGCACGUUAAGAGACGGCAUGAAGCCAAAGGGACCUCUUGGACCCAAAAGGACUGGCUUUCAGUGGCCCUACUGACCACCCCAGCUCUAAGGCUCAAAAGACACCAU